UGGCCUGUCGUGAAACCCAACCGUAUCCGCAUGAAACACUACAAUACUUGCUUUUGUCGUAGCCUUUGUACAUCGGCUGUCGGGUUGCUAAGAGGGACACCCGAAGCCCCGAGGAAGAACCGGUCCCUGUCGUCUCUCUCUGGAGUUUGGGCCUUUAAAUAUUCUGGCCGGAUAUGAACAAACUCCUUUGGACAGCGUUACAGUGACUCCGUCUUCCUCCGGCACUCUGUCGUUCCACUCCUGGACCUGUGAAAACAUUCAAACUGAAACGAUAAGGACCAAGGUGAUGAACCCACAUCAUUGUGGCAAGACAGAAGCUCCGAAAGUCCGUCUUGCUCUUUGCAGGGACCCCCUUAUGUUGGCUGAGGUGGUUGGACACCUCAGCCAUGUCCUCCUCUGUGAGAGCAAGGAUUUCGGACUCCUGGCUUGCAGCGCUGGAGGAAUCAAAGGG